rnacentral:rRNA from 1 species
CGGUAUGGUAUUGGCUUACCGUGGCAGUGACGGUUAACGGGGGAUUAGGGUUCGAUUCCGGAGAGGGAGCCUGAGAAACGGCUACCACAUCUAAGGAAGGCAGCAGGCGCGCAAAUUACCCAAUUCUAACAACAUAAGAGAGGUAGUGACAAGAAAUAACAGUACAAGGCAGUUAAAAUGCUUUGUAAUUGGAAUGAUAGAAAUUUAAAUACUUUUUAAAGUAUCAAUUGGAGGGCAAGUCUGGUGCCAGCAGCCGCGGUAAUUCCAGCUCCAAUAGCGUAUAUUAAAAUUGUUGCAGUUAAAAAGCUCGUAGUUGAAUUUCUGCUAGAAAUAACCGGUCUGCUUUUAUUAAUAAAAGUAGUAUCUUGGUGUGUUUUUAGCAAUAAUGUCCUUUGAAAUGUUUUUUACUUUACUGUAAAAAGCAAAAUUCAGGAUUUUUACUUUGAGAAAAUUAGAGUGUUUCAAGCAGGCUAACGUUUUGAAUACUGCAGCAUGGAAUAAUAAAAUAGGAUUUUAGUUCUACGUUAUUGGUUUUAAGAACUAAAUUAAUGGUUGAUAGGGGCAGUUGGGGGCAUUUGUAUUUAACUGUC